rnacentral:piRNA from 1 species
GGGUUGCUCGAAGACCUCAGGGGUAAAC